rnacentral:lncRNA from 1 species
GACCCAAACAUCGGAGGUCCCAAACUCCCCCACGAAACCCCCGAUAGAGGGACAAUUUUAGAAGGGAGUGGCAUGUAUCUCCGUAUAGGAGAUUUACGAACUACACCCUACUAAACUCGUCCGAGCUCAAGUGCUGAUGGAGAUCAGAGAUUGGGUCCCAAGGGCGGGGAGGUUGUGGUCUAAUCCAGGCUGGCGAAACCACUACAAGUAUUGCCUGUAUCACCGCAACCAUGGCCAUGAUACCGAAGACUGCAUUUAGCUUCAGGAUGAGAUAGAAG